UAGGGAAUCUUCCGCAAUGGACGCAAGUCUGACGGAGCAACGCCGCGUGAGUGAAGAAGGAUUUAGGUUCGUAAAACUCUGUUGUUAGAGAAGAACAGCGCAUAGAGUAACUGUUAUGCGUGUGACGGUAUCUAACCAGAAAGCCACGGCUAACUACGUGCCAGCAGCCGCGGUAAUACGUAGGUGGCAAGCGUUGUCCGGAUUUAUUGGGCGUAAAGCGAGCGCAGGCGGUCAAUUAAGUCUGAUGUGAAAGCCCCCGGCUCAACCGGGGAGGGUCAUUGGCAACUGGUUGACUUGAGUGCAGAAGAGGAGAGUGGAAUUCCAUGUGUAGCGGUGAAAUGCGUAGAUAUAUGGAGGAACACCAGUGGCGAAGGCGACUCUCUGGUCUGUAACUGACGCUGAGGCUCGAAAGCGUGGGUAGCAAACAGG
rnacentral:rRNA from 1 species